UGCCAGCCGCCGCGGUAAUACGGAGGGUGCGAGCGUUAAUCGGAAUUACUGGGCGUAAAGCGCAUGCAGGCGGUUGAUUAAGCGAGAUGUGAAAGCCCCGGGCUUAACCUGGGAACUGCAUUUCGAACUGGUCAACUAGAGUCUUGUAGAGGGGGGUAGAAUUUCAGGUGUAGCGGUGAAAUGCGUAGAUAUCGGAAGGAACACCAGUGGCGAAGGCGACUUCCUGGGCCAAUACUGACGCUGAGGUGCGAAAGCGUGGGGAGCAAACAGGAUUAGAUA
rnacentral:rRNA from 1 species